CUGCUGAACUAGGAAAGUAUUUAUUUAUUACUUUGAGAUCAGUACGAGUUUAAGAACUUUGUGCCUGAUGCUACCUUCGCUGGUGUCAGUUCCAGACCAACGUGAUGUCCCCAGCUUCAGAUACGGGGCAUGCGCUGUGAUGGCACUCCUUGCCUCAGGGAGCCACCAGGACUGGGUUCCAGCCUUUGUCAUGGGAGAGCCUCAGAAAAUAUGUCUAUGAUAAAAUCCCUGUCAAUCUUGCCAACACAAUUCCAAAGUUGAUUCUGUUUGGAGACUUCCCCUCAGGUAUUAAGAGGUUGACAAGGACCUGCUGAAUUCCAUGACUCUAGACACAUACAGGAACAUGCAAAGAUCUGAUCCUCAGCUCUGUGCAAGAAGUGCUAGCUUUGAGGAAAUAAACGAAGUAGUCUUACCUUUCCGAGAGGCACAUUGAC